rfam:Gossypium hirsutum cultivar TM-1 chromosome 15, whole genome shotgun sequence
AUCCCAUGGUGAGAGCAUUUCUAAAAUAAUUCUUUGAAUCUCUCCCAUGUCUCAUACAAAAAGUCAUCAUCUAUCUAUUGAAAAGUAGACACUGACCCAGGUGGCA